GCUUACGGCCACACCACCCUGAGCGCGCCCGAUCUCGUCUGAUCUCGGAAGCUAAGCAGGGUCGGGCCUGGUUAGUACUUGGAUGGGAGACCGCCUGGGAAUACCAGGGUGCCGUAAGCU
rnacentral:rRNA from 1 species